AAUGGAUGCAGAAGGUUCAGCCUGCAGAGUAGAGACCAAAUGAUGAAGGUGCAUGAUGGGGGAAUGUCAUAAAGGAAAUCAGCAAGGUCUAUAGUAUAAUGUUCAUGGAGAAGUCUUUGAGAAAGUUUUGUGUGGACGAAACUGAACUGUUAAAGGGACUUGGGGUCUUGUGAAGACAGGAAACACAGGAAACACCCUAGUGAGUUUCUAUACUGACUUUGUCGUCCAUAAACAUUCUCGUUCAAACUCUGGAUGCCAACAACGCAUGGUCCUAUCAACGUUCAAAGUCCAUUCACUGUGGUUUGAACGUACCGUUACAAAAUUUGUGUGUCAUUUGGAACAAAAUAAGCAACAAACCAUUAGCCUCACUGAUUAUAUCAUUUCUAAUUAAGUAUUGAUUCAUUAGCUCAUAAGCAAGGAAAUAUGUGUUCUGAAAUAUUUUCAUGGGGAACAUGUACACAGACAGCACCUUGAGACUAAAGUAUUCAUCUUAAAUGCAAGUGUAAGAACUUCAUGGAAAGGCCAUGACCCCUGUGAACAUUUAGUGACAGGUUGCAUUUUGUAUAUUUGUACACUGUAUUGUAUAGUUUUAUAAUCGCGAUACAGAUAGGUACAAUUGUGGUUUCAUGCAACCAAAAGUUUUUUCUGAAUACACAGCUGUCUGCCUGUAUAAUUGUGGUUUGAGCUAUAUAGGGACAUAUUAUUUAUAUUGAUUUGUGUAUCCUUAUUUGUUGUAUCCCGGG